CGGACGGGUGAGUAAUGUCUGGGAAACUGCCUGAUGGAGGGGGAUAACUACUGGAAACGGUAGCUAAUACCGCAUAACGUCGCAAGACCAAAGAGGAGGACCUUCGGGCCUCUUGCCAUCGGAUGUGCCCAGAUGGGAUUAGCUAGUAGGUGGGGUAAAGGCUCACCUAGGCGACGAUCCCUAGCUGGUCUGAGAGGAUGACCAGCCACACUGGAACUGAGACACGGUCCAG
rnacentral:rRNA from 1 species